rnacentral:rRNA from 1 species
UACGUAGGCAGCGAGCGUUGUUCGGAGUUACUGGGCGUAAAGGGUGUGUAGGCGGUCCUCUAAGUUUGGUGUGAAAUCUCCCGCUCAACCGGGAGGGUGCGCCGAAAACUGGGGGACUAGAGUGCGGUAGAGGUAGCUGGAAUUCCCGGUGUAGCGGUGAAAUGCGUAGAUAUCGGGAGGAAUACCUAUGGCGAAAGCAGGCUACUGGACCGUCACUGACUCUGAUCUGCGAAAGCUAGGGGAGCAAACAGG